rnacentral:rRNA from 1 species
ACCGCGGGGGCUGCCUAUAAUGCAAGUCGAGCGGACCGACGGGAGCUUGCUCCCUUAGGUCAGCGGCGGACGGGUGAGUAACACGUGGGUAACCUGCCUGUAAGACUGGGAUAACUCCGGGAAACCGGGGCUAAUACCGGAUGCUUGAUUGAACCGCAUGGUUCAAUCAUAAAAGGUGGCUUUUAGCUACCACUUGCAGAUGGACCCGCGGCGCAUUAGCUAGUUGGUGAGGUAACGGCUCACCAAGGCGACGAUGCGUAACCGACCUGAGAGGGUGAUCGGCCACACUGGGACUGAAACACGGCCCAGACUCCUACGGGAGGCAGCAGUAGGGAAUCUUCCGCAAUGGACGAAAGUCUGACGGAACAACGCCGCGUGAGUGAUGAAGGUUUUCGGAUCGUAAAACUCUGUUGUUAGGGAAGAACAAGUACCGUUCGAAUAGGGCGGUACCUUGACGGUACCUAACCAGAAAGCCACGGCUAACUACGUGCCAGCAGCCGCGGUAAUACGUAGGUGGCAAGCGUUGUCCGGAAUUAUUGGGCGUAAAGCGCGCGCAGGCGGUUUCUUAAAUCUGAUGUGAAAACCCCCGGCUCAACCGGGGAGGGUCAUUGGAAACUGGGGAACUUGAGUGCAAAAGAGGAAAAUGGAAUUCCACGUGUAUCGGUGAAAUGGUUAGAGAUGUAGAAGAACACCAGUGGCGAA